rfam:Dipodomys ordii contig_7556, whole genome shotgun sequence.
GGGAAUGUGGCUUAGUGGUAGAGUGCUUGCCUAACAUGCAUGAAGCCCUGGGUUCAAUUCCUCAGUACCA